rnacentral:ncRNA from 2 species
AAAAACACGAAUGAUUCAUCUCGUAUAAUCGCAGAGAUACGGUCUGCAAGUUUCUACCGGUCCACCGUAAAUGGACUGACUACGAGUGAAAGUUUAUUUGAC